GUGAGGUCUGUGAAUAACAGACGCCCAAAGGAACUAAUGUUUUAAGCCAAAGCAAUUUGGGUAACAGGACAGGCUUGGGGGAAAAAAACCACAGUGCCAGAUUUUGGAUUAUGCUGCACAUCAGUGCUAAAAAAGAAGCCACACAUGUUGUGAAUAUAUAGCCCAGGAACACAUUUUAUGAGCAUAUUCCUAAUGUGGCGUGUGCGUCGCUUUCUCUUAUUAUUGAUAAUAACUAACUAUAGCUUCUGCUUUAGCUCUCCCUCCUGUUCUCCCCCAUUCGACUGCAGGAUUUAACAGACCAGUGAUGAUACACAAACGUGUGAUCCAGAUUCCAUCAAACAGCAUUAAAAUGUCCCAGUGAGCACAGCGGCUGUUCAGAGGGCCAGGCCCUGUGGGUUCACUUGGGUCUGGCAUUGGGGAGCAUCCUUCUGGCAUCCGUAUGGGAGGGCUGGAGAGGAGUCUUCUGUUGAGGCAGCCUGGGCAUCAGCUUCUCUUGGUCAAUAAGGCUGCGUGUCAGGAGUGGCAGUGUUCAGUCUUUCUAGAAGUGCUUCUCUUCAGCAUACCAGGUGCCCUUGCAGAGAUGAGAGCCUGGCUUUUCCUUCUGCAAACCCAAAUCAACCCUCUCUGUUCACCUUUGUCCCCACGGUAAGCCCAGAGGAAUUGCUGGGAACCUGGUGGUGAAUUUGUAUAAUUGAAGUUUUGGAGGAGGGUUGUGGGGCUGGAGGUGUGAGCUAUGAGGUGUCAGGUGAGGGCUGAACUAUUGCUCCGCAGGGAUGACCCCAAGAGCUGGUGCCUCUAGGCACGGGAUAUGCCCAUGGCAGGCUGCUCAGCCGGCUCCAUCCACACCUACACUUCAUGUCACAUCCCUCGGGGACCUGGGGCGUGCUGCCUGACGGGCAGCUGUUGCAUCACAGCUGGGCUGGGCCCACUGCCACAGAAGGCUGUGCCUCCGGACCCUGUGAAGCACCCAUCCCCAGGCUGGUCUUGCAGCAGACUGCUCCUGAGGGUUACUCCUGUUAUUGCUGUUGGUUGCACGCCCAAGGUUUUGAUGCAGGCUGUUCAUGUAGCUCUUGUGCUGGGUUUCUUCUGGCAGCUUUCAGCACCAACAUCUCUUUUCCCACCACACUCGUAUCUGCUACGGACUGCACACCAGCAGCGCUGACUUAAGAAGUUCUCAAGACUUCACGAGGUUCUUUAAAACCACCUCUCCUUGCUGCUGGCCGCGCUGCUGAAGGGCUGCAUGGGCACGGAGCAAGGAGUGCAUCCCAUCAGGGCCCAGCCCCCAG
rnacentral:lncRNA from 1 species